UGCCGGUUGGAUAUGCGCCGAUCGGAACAUAAUUUCCAAGCGUGAUUAGGUGAUGGUGCUGAAAUUCUGGAAAUCGAAUCUGAAGCGGGAUCGAUGCGUCAAAAGAGCGCCGUGUUUUCGCAAUUGUGCAACGAAAGCUGUGCGUUGGCCGCCCAUCCCCCCCGGGUAAUCGAUGAUCAGCCAGUGUACACGGUGAGACGCCUCUUGAAGGUUCGACCACGGGGCAGGGGUAUCCAGUACCUGGUUGACUGGGAGGGUUAUGGCCCAGAGGAGAAGUGCUGAGUUCCUGCUAAAGACAUCUUGGACCCGGCCCUCAUCACCGAAUUCCACCGCCGUCAGCCAGUCCUCCCGGUUUUGACCCUUGCCUGUUUCUGGACUCUGUACCCGCCUGCCUGCCUUGACCACGAGCCUGUCUGCCAUGCUGUACCUCCUGGACUCCUGGUUUUGACUUUGUGCCUGUCCAUGGCCAUUCUCUUGCCUACUUCUUUUGGAUUAAUGAACAUUGUAAGACUCCAACCAUCUGCCCCGUGUCUGCAUCUGGGUCUCGCCUUGUGUCAUGAUAUAGUUCCACUUUAAAACAGUUAGAGUUUAAUGGCUGUGAUAGGAGAACUGAGGAUGGAUCAACAACAUUGUAGGUACUCCACAAUACUAACCGAGAGUGAAAAGAAGGAAGCCUGUACAGAAUACAAAUAUUCCAAAACAUGACUGCUGUUUGUAACAAGGCACUAAAGUUAUACUGCAAAAUAAUUGGCAAAGCAAUUCACUUUUUCACCUGAAUACAAAGUGUUAUGUUUGGGGCAAAUCCAACACAUUACUGAGUGCCGCUCUCCAUAUUUUCAAGCAUGGUGGCUGAAUCAUGUUAUGGUAUUAUUGUAAUCAAGGCCUAUGGCGUUUUUCAGGAGAAAAUGGAAUGGAGCUAAGCACAGGGGAAAUCAUAGAGGAGAACCUGGUUUCCACCAAAAAUGUCUAAAAACACGUGUUAAUUUAGUCAUUAUGGGUAAAUGGGUGAGGGGGGGGGGGAAUCUUUUUAAUCCAUUUUUUGAAUUCAGGCUGUAACACAACAGAAUGUGGAAUAAGUCAAUGGGUGUGACUACUUUCUGAAGGCACGAUGUCACGACUCCUACCGAAGGUGGCUCCCCUUCCUGUUCGGGUGGCGCUCGGCGGUUGUCGUCACCGGCCUACUAGCUGCCACGGAUCCCUUUUCCCCCUUUUCUGUUUAUUAGUUGCACCUGUGUUUAGUUUAGGAUAAUUGGUUGGGCUUUAUUUACCAGCCGGCUAGUUGUGCGGGAUUGUUUUCAGUGUACAUGUUGUACACGGCUGUAGGUCACGGUUGUCCGUGUAUUUGUAUUUUGCUGGACUGUUUAAGUUCCCCGUGUUUGGGGCAUUUGUUUGGGUUGGUGUCGUUUCACCAUUGUGGUGCAAAUAAAGUAGCGCUAC